UUAAUGACUUAAUGCGCAGCACCUGCGCGCGCGCCGAGCCGUGUGCACAGUCGCGACGCACUGAGAGAAGACACGCGAUGAUGGAGAUGACGAUGAGGACUGUGUGGGAUCGGGUCUCUCCUGCAGAUCGUGCCUCUCGUUCUCUCUCGAGGACUGACCAGCAUCACCCUCACCAGGCUGGACCAGCUGGUCGCCACGAGUGUGAUCAGCUUUGUGUUUUCAGCAUGGUUUCUGGUGGUUGUUGGUCGUUGGAGAUAGUCUCAGAAAACAGAGACGACCUUCAGACGCUGAUCGACCUUGGACUCACCGCUAAGGUGUAGUCGUGGUGCUCAGGGCCUGUCCAUCGCCGUGCCCUCUGACCUCCAGAAGAACACCGCCCUGCUGCUCAGCCUCACCGAGGCCUUCUACGACUACUUCCUGGUGGGG